rnacentral:rRNA from 1 species
GACGAACGCUGGCGGCGUGCUUAACACAUGCAAGUCGAGCGGUAAGGCCUCUUCGGGGGUACACGGGCGGCGAACGGGUGAGUAACACGUGAGUAAUCUGCCCUUCACUCUGGGAUAAGCACUCGAAAGGGUGUCUAAUACCGGAUACGACGCACUCUCGCAUGGGAUGUGUGUGGAAACUUUUGUGGGUGGGGGAUGUGCUCGCGGCCUAUCAGCUUGUUGGUGGGGUAAUGGCCUACCAAGGCUUUGACGGGUAGCCGGCCUGAGAGGGUGACCGGCCACACUGGGACUGAGACACGGCCCAGACUCCUACGGGAGGCAGCAGUGGGGAAUAUUGGACAAUGGGCGGAAGCCUGAUCCAGCAACGCCGCGUGAGGGAUGACGGCCUUCGGGUUGUAAACCUCUUUCAGUAUCGACGAAGCGCCCGUGUGGGUGGUGACGGUAGGUACAGAAGAAGCACCGGCCAACUACGUGCCAGCAGCCGCAGUAACAC